UUUAAGUGCAACCAUAAGUUUCCGUACUCACCUUUGAUUAUCCGUUUCAUUUAAAUUUUUUUAUAAUUAGUAUUUUUGUUGUUAUGAGAUGAUAAAAACAUGAAUAAUACUUACUCCUAACUUAUGGUUUUUAAAUUUUUUAAAAAAGUUUUAAAAAACAAACGAUCAAAAUUGGGCAUGAAAAACCAUCACUACAAUUAAA
rfam:Oryza meridionalis cultivar OR44 (W2112) chromosome 12, whole genome shotgun sequence.